rnacentral:rRNA from 1 species
UACGUAGGGUGCGAGCGUUGUCCGGAAUUACUGGGCGUAAAGAGUUCGUAGGCGGUUUGUCGCGUCGUUUGUGAAACCCGGAGCUCAACCCCGGGCCUGCAGCCGAUACGGGCAAGCUAGAAUUCGGUAGGGGAGACUGGAAUUCCUGGUGUGAGCGGUGAAAUGACGCAGAUAUCAGGAGGAACACCGGUGGCGAAGGCGGGUCUCUGGGCCGAUAUUGACGCUGGAGGAGCGAAAGCGUGGGGAGCGAACAGG